AGGUGUUCGCGCGACUGGCGAGAUCAGAUGGGGCACCAUCGGGGAACGCGAACGAGCAGCUGCCGCUCGCCUGGGCACCCAAC
rnacentral:ncRNA from 2 species